UACGAAGGGGGCUAGCGUUGCUCGGAAUCACUGGGCGUAAAGGGUGCGUAGGCGGGUCUUUAAGUCAGGGGUGAAAUCCUGGAGCUCAACUCCAGAACUGCCUUUGAUACUGAGGAUCUUGAGUUCGGGAGAGGUGAGUGGAACUGCGAGUGUAGAGGUGAAAUUCGUAGAUAUUCGCAAGAACACCAGUGGCGAAGGCGGCUUACUGGACACAUAUUGACGCUGAGGUGCGAAAGCGUGGGGAGCAAACAGG
rnacentral:rRNA from 1 species